GGUGGCUCAGUAGUAGAGCGCUUGCCUUGAAUGCAUGAGGCCCUGGGUUCAAUUCCUCAGCACCA
rnacentral:tRNA from 1 species